CCUACGGGGGGCAGCAGUGAGGAAUAUUGGUCAAUGGACGAAAGUCUGAACCAGCCAUGCCGCGUGAAGGAUGACGGCCCUAUGGGUUGUAAACUUCUUUUGUAUGGGAGUAAACUCCUCCACGUGUGGGGGUUUGUAUGUACCAUACGAAUAAGGAUCGGCUAACUCCGUGCCAGCAGCCGCGGUAAUACGGAGGAUCCGAGCGUUAUCCGGAUUUAUUGGGUUUAAAGGGAGCGUAGGUGGUUUGUUAAGUCAGUGGUGAAAUGUCGGGGCUCAACCGUGAAACUGCAGUUGAAACUGGCAGUCUUGAGUACAGUAGCGGUGGGCGGAAUGUAUGGUGUAGCGGUGAAAUGCUUAGAGAUCAUGCAGAACACCGAUUGCGAAGGCAGCUUACCAAGCUAUAACUGACGCUGAGGCACGAAAGCGUGGGGAGCAAACAGGAUUAGAUACCCCUGUAGUC
rnacentral:rRNA from 1 species